AGCGAACGCUGGCGGCAGGCCUAACACAUGCAAGUCGAACGGAUCCUUCGGGAUUAGUGGCGGACGGGAGAGGCACACGUGGGAACGUUCCCUUUUGGUCGGAACAACUCAGGGAAACUUGAGCUAAUACCGAAUGUGCCCUUCUGCGGCAAGAUUUAUCUCCAUUGAAGCGGCCCGCUUCUGAUUUGCAAGUUGGUGAGGUAACGGCCCACCCAGGUGAUGUUCAGUAGCUGGUCUGAGAGGAUGAUCAGCAACACUGGGACUGAGACACGGCCCAGACUCCUACGGGAGGCAGCAGUGGGGAAUCUUGCGCAAUGGGCGAAAGCCUGACGCAGUCAUGCCGCGUGAAUGAUGAAGGUCUUAGGAUUGUAAAAUUCUUUCAGCGGGGACGAUAAUGACGGUACCCGCAGAAGAAGCGCCGGCUAACUUCGUG
rnacentral:rRNA from 1 species